UACAGAGGACCCAAGCGUUGUUCGGAUUCACUGGGCGUAAAGGGUGCGUAGGCGGUCGGGUAAGUCUGAUGUGAAAUCUCACAGCUUAACUGUGAAACUGCAUUGGAUACUAUCCGGCUCGAGGAAUGGAGGGGAGACUGGAAUACUUGGUGUAGCAGUGAAAUGCGUAGAUAUCAAGUGGAACACCAGUGGCGAAGGCGAGUCUCUGGACAUUUCCUGACGCUGAGGCACGAAAGCCAGGGGAGCAAACGGG
rnacentral:rRNA from 1 species